AGGGCCCGUAUGCUGGCGAUUGUGCUUAUUGCACUUCUGUUACGCGGUGGGCCUUGGUAAGCGCCACAACUAACUAUUGACGUGGGCUUUGAUAAGCGCCACACUAACUCUACGUGGGUCAUUUUAGUGCCACUAACUCUACGUGAGUCGUCAGCAUAUGUGAGCCGGGAUCCCAAAUAAAAUAUGGAUAUAAAUUAGAUUAUAGAAUUAGCCUUAUGUGUUAUAUGUUGUAUACUUUCUAUAUGAAUAUUUGUACCUUAGAGUGACUAGGAUAGAGAUCCUCACUCAGUGUUUAGCACUGACCCUUACUUUCUAUUUCAAAGCGACAGUAGGUUUUACUAGGUCACACACUGCAACAUGGUAUCAUCGAGCUCCGGGGUCGGGCAUUAUGGUGGCGACGGCAGGGAGGCGACGCCAGGUAGAUAUCGAAGAUUGUGACUUGAUCAUCGUUUUGUAUUUAAAGUUUGGUUGAGACUCUUACUUCCAUCAUGUGCAUAUGUUAUGAGUGGUUGUGUACUAGUACAAUGUGAGAUAUGGUUUUGUAAAUAUAGUGGCCGAGAGGGCAAGUAUAUGGUUACUCUGGUCCGAGCCUGUGAAGCUCGAGACUUCUGUUCUAUAUGUAUAUGUGUCCUGCUGGACUUCUGGUAUAGUGUACUAUAUUGUGAAAAGUCAAUAAGUCAUAUAUGACAUCUUGAGCAGUUUUUGUUGACGAAUUGGUUAUUUGAGUA
rnacentral:lncRNA from 1 species